rnacentral:lncRNA from 1 species
CAGCGCUGUGCUCUCACCGGCAAUGGAGUAGCUCCACCACCUGGGAGGGGGGCCAUCCCUGUGCCUGGCUUUUAUUGAGUAAGCAUCCUAAAGGACCAUCCAGCCCAGGACCCUGUCCCAGUGAGUGGGCUACAGAGGCCUGCAGAGCCCAGGCCCCAGGUCAGGGGAAUCUGUCUUGACUUCUGGGCUCCAGAACCCACAGGGGCUCCAGCAGAGCACCGUCUGCUUUCUUGCCG